GGCCGCAGCCACUACAGCCGCAGCCUCUUCUUCCUCCCCUGCUCUGUUUCCUUUCCUUCUCUUCCAACUGCAGCUGCAACUGCCACAGCUGCCUCUCCUUCUCCUCUUCCUCUCUUCUUCCCUUUUCCUUUCUCUUCUUCUUCCUUUCUUUCUCUUCUUUCCCAGCUGCACUACUGCAGUCGCAGCCUCAGCAACGACCACAGCCUCUUCUUCCUCCCCUGCUCAUCUUCCUCUCCUUCUUCUCUUCCAACUAAUGGGGAUAUAAACAGGAAUAACCUUUGUAUAUGAACAAAUACUAGAAAACCAUAAUACGCAGCAGAAUUAAAUGGAAGCACAAUCAAAUAGAACACCAAGAUAUACGUGGAAAACCCCUCUAAUGUGAAGGGUAAAAACCACGGGGCAAACUAGAGAUAAUCCACUAUGAGAAUAAUGAAUAUACAAAUCUCAAUCUCUUGCCCUAAACUCUAGCAACGAUCACAAGAGAAUAACUGGGAUACAAGGAUCACGUCACUACCUACAAUAUCUAAAACCUCCCCAAGUAAUCACAGCAAGAGUCUACUAUAGAUUUGAUUUAACCUGAGAUAAGAACACUACUAGAUGAUUGAGAACAACCUCUCUGCAUUGUCCUUGUCUUCUUCCCUUUCUUUCUCUUCCUUUUCUGCCUCGUUUUCCUCUUUUUCUUUGGAAUCUCGUGGCUAUGAAAAACUACCUCCUUGCUGCCCUAUUUAUGCCUAUUUUCGCAGCCACCACACCCCCCUAAUGUUAAUUAGGGUUAGGUUAAGAGAGGGUGAGUUGUGGGCUGGCCAAGCCCACUAUGGGCUGAAUCUAUGGGCUGCCAGCCCAACAACCUCCCCCUUUAGCCCAUAAGGGAGGCUGUCCCAUGACUCCUCAAUGUGAAGUCAUGCUGACCAGUUGUCGGCAUAUCUCCUGUCUUUCUUUUAGGAAGGUCUUAAUUCCAUUUGGUAGUAGUACCAAAUUAUAAGUGUGGUUCCUUUGAAGAUCAUCCAUCUCUUCUUGCAUAGCAACUAACCACUUCUCUUUCUGCUCACUUUUAAUUGCUUCUUGGUAACUCUCUAGUUCACCUGCAUCAGUAAGCAUCACAUACUCAUCUGUAGAGUAUCUUUUGGAAGGUUGACGUUGUCUAGAAGAUCUUCUCAACUAAGGUUCUACGGGAAGUUUCUCUCCAACUUCUUCUUGCUCAACAUGUCCUGCAGGUAGAUCAACAUCAGACUCUACACUAUCUUCCUGCACAUCUCCCCCAUCACCCUGAUAUACUGGAGGAAUAACUGGGUCAUAAUCUGCUAAUCCUUCUGUAGAAGUCUUGGCUCGUGCCUUCUUCUUCAAAUCCUCAAAGGAUUGAUCCUCAAAGAAGACUACAUCUCUGUUUCUAAACACCUUAUGUUUUUUUGGAUCCUAAAGCUUGUAACUAAAAUGAUCAUGUGAGUAACCAAGAAAAAUAUAUUUUUUAGUCUUACCAUCCAACUUGGACCUCUCAUUAUCUGGAACAUGUGCAAAUGCACGACAACCAAACACUCUCAAAUGCUUGUAGGAAACAUCUUUCCUUGACCAUACAUGCUCUGCAACAUCACCAUCUAGGGUUGUACAUGGUGAUAAGUUGAUCACAUCAAUUGCCGUCCUCAAAGCCUCAUCCCAAAACCUAUUGGGUAGCUUGGCCUGUGAAAGCAUACAUCUGAUCUUUUCCAUGAUGGUGUGAUUCAUCCUCUCUGCAAUUGUAUUAUGCUGAGGAGUACCAAGAACUGUCAUCUCAUGUUGGAUCCCAUGUGACCUGCAAUAGUCAUUAAACAAUCCUGUAUACUCACCACCAUUAUCUGAUCUUAUGCAUUUCAAUUUCCUUUCUGUCUCCCUUUCAACCCUGGCAUGAAACUCUUUGAAGAUAUUAAUCACCUGAUCUUUAGUCUUCAAAGCAUAGGCCCAAACUUUCAUGAAAAAAUCAUCUAUAAAAGUGACAAAAUAAAGUGCACCACUUAUACCAAGAACAUCAACAGAUCCACCAGGAGUUUUUAUCCUCAAAGGACCACAUACAUCUGUAUAAACACGGUCUAAGACAUGUAUUUUUCUAGAUAAAGCAGGACUAGCAAAUGAAACUCUAUGUUGUUUACCUGCCAAACAAUCAAUACAAGGAUUCAGAUGUAUACCUCUGAGGUAUGGUAAUACCUCUCUCUUGGAAAGAGCUUGCAACCCCUUCUCGCUCAUGUGUCCCAGUCACCUAUGCCACAACUCCAUGCUGAAGUCUUUUUCUGUAGCAUUUAAGUGCUCACCAUAAGCUUUAGCUUGCAACCUGUACAAAGUAUGACAUUUCUUUCCAUUAGCUAUAAUAAGAGAACUCUUACUGAGCUUCCAUUGCCCUCUGUGAAAUCUGCUUUCAUAGUCUUCAUCAUCUAGUCUUUCAACUGAAAUUAAAUUCAGCCUCAAGUCAACCACAUACCUCACAUCCUUAAGCACCAACUUGCAGCCAAGGUUGGUCUUUAAAUGGAUAUCACCCAUGCCUAUGAUGUCUGCUGUGCCAUAGUUGCCCAUCUUGACAACACCAAAAUUUUCAGACCUGUAUGUAGCAAAAAACUCCCUCCGUGGUGUAGCAUGAUAAGAAGCACCCGUGUCAAUCACCUACUCAAGAUCCUGACACACACAAGAAAAAAUAUCAUCAGAAGGAGACAAAAUCAAAUAAUCACCACCCUGCACUGUAGCUAUGCUAUUAUCUUUUGAUUCUAUAGACUCCACUUCUUUCCCCUUUUUCUUGCUCUUCUUAUGUUGCUUACAUUGGUUCUUGUAAUAUCCUUUCUCACCACAGUUAUAGCAAACAAUAUCUUUUCUUGAUCUUGACUUGCUUCUACCCAUGCGUGAACUGCUUCUAGACUUUGACCUUCCUCUGUUCUCUGAGAUAAGUGCCUGUGAAUCAUUCUGAGAUGUUGCUGAACUCUUUCUUCUCAACUCCUCAUUCAACAAAUUGCUUAUUACUUGACUCAUAGUGACAAUACCAUCUGGCGCAGAAUUACUGAGGGAAACCACCAAUGUCUCCCAACUUUCUUGUAAUGAACUAAGAAGUAACAAAGCCUGCAACUCAUCAUCAAGAGACAUUUUCAUAGAGGAUAACUGGUUAGUAAUACUUUGCAUUUCAUUCAAAUGUUCAGCAAUAGAAGCACCCUCUCUAUAUUUUAGGUUCACAAGUUUUCUGAUAAAAAAACCUUUGUUGCCAGCUGUUUUUCUUUCAUAGAGACUUUCCAACUUUUUCCAAAGAGAAUAUGCAGAAAUUUCAAUAGAAACAUGGUGGAAGACACUAUCAUCAAGCCAUUGUCGAAUAAAUCUAAUUGUUUUUCGAUCUAACCUCUUUCACUCAUCAUCUGUCAUAGUUAUGGGUUUUGCACUAUCUCCCUACAAAGGUCCAUACAAAUCUUUGCAAUAAAAGAGAUCUUCCAUUCUUGGUUUCUAUAUCAUCCAAUUGUUUUCAUUUAAACUAAUCAUACGAGAAAUAUUACUGGCCUCCAUGUUCAAAUAUAAAAUUAAAUCACCAAAAACCUAGGCUCUGAUACCAGUUGAUGGGGAUAUAAACAUGAAUAACCUUUGUAUAUGAACAAAUACUAGAAGACCAUAAUACGCAGCAAAAUUAAAUGGAAGCACAAUCAAACAGAACACUAAGAUAAAUAUGGAAAACCCCUCCAAUGUGAAGGGUAAAAACCAUGGGGCAAACUAGAUAUAAUCCACUAUGAGAAUAAUGAAUAUACAAAUCUCAAUCUCUUGCCCUAAACCCUAGCAACGAUCACAAGAGAAUAACUGGGAUACAAAGAUCACGUCACUGCCUACAAUAUCUAAAACCUCCCCAAGUAAUCAUAGCAAGAAUCUACUGUAGAUUUGAUCUAACCUGAGAUGAGAACACUACUAGAUGAUUGAGAACAGCCUCUCUGCGUUGUCCUUGUCUUCUUCCCUUUCUUUCUCUUCUUUUUUUGCCUUGUUUUUCUUCUUUUCUUUGGAAUCUCGUGGCUAUAAAAAACUGCCUCCUUGCUGCCCUAUUUAUGCCUAUUUUCGCAGCCACCACACCCCCCUAAUGUUAAUUAGGGUUAGAUUAAGAGGGGGUGAGUUGUGGGCUGCCAGCCCAACACCAACUGUAGCUGCCAUCGCCGCAGCCGCAGCCCCUUCUUCCCCUUCUCUUCUUCCUCUCCUUCCCUUCUUCCUUCCUCUCCCUCUUUCCCUGCCAUAGAUGCAGCUGCCACAGCCGCAGCCGCUGCUACUUCUUUCCCUUCUCCUCUUCCUCCUCCUUCCUUUCUUCUUCUUCUCUUCUUCUCCUUCCUCCCCUUCUUCUCCCCGAUGCACAGCACUUCCUCUCCUC
rnacentral:lncRNA from 1 species